CUUUUGUGGGGUGCUCGAGUGGCGAACGGGUGAGUAACACGUGAGUAACCUGCCCUUGACUUUGGGGUAACUUCAGGAAACUGGGGCUAAUACCGGAUAGGAGCUCCUGCUGCAUGGUGGGGGUUGGAAAGUUUCGGCGGUUGGGGAUGGACUCGCGGCUUAUCAGCUUGUUGGUGGGGUAGUGGCUUACCAAGGCUUUGACGGGUAGCCGGCCUGAGAGGGUGACCGGCCACAUUGGGACUGAGAUACGGCCCAG
rnacentral:rRNA from 1 species